UACGGAGGGGGCUAGCGUUGUUCGGAAUUACUGGGCGUAAAGCGCGCGUAGGCGGCCUCGUAAGUCCGUUGUGAAAGUCAAAGGCUCAACCUUUGAAAGCCGAUGGAUACUGUGAGGCUAGAGUCCGGAAGAGGCGAGUGGAAUUCCUGGUGUAGCGGUGGAAUGCGCAGAUAUCAGGAGGAACACCAAUAGCGAAGGCAGCUCGCUGGGACGGUACUGACGCUAAGGCGCGAAAGCGUGGGGAGCGAACAGG
rnacentral:rRNA from 1 species